UUAUCUUCCUUUCUCCACUAUGUACCAUAGAGGGAAAUCUGGGAGAGCCGACUUCAGUAAGGAUUCUUACUUUUUGCUGAUUUCUAUCAGUUUUCGCCAGAUCCUAUCUGCAGGCUGUGGAGUGAGUGGGGUGUCCCAGUGGAUCUCAUCUUGGUCACCAGAAACUGUAGAGGAAGAAAGAUUAUUUCUCCUCCACCCUUUAUGAAUUCCUGACCUGGAAUGAACAUCCAUCAAAAUUGUUUUUAAAGAUUCUCAUCCCUCUCUCAUCAAUCUGUUCUUCAUCUCAAGUGUGAAAGCCCUGGAAUGAGGUA